CAUCCCAAAACCCUUGAUGUUUUAGGGUUUUGCACCUGUUUAAUAAGGAGUUCCAACCAUACAUCCGAACAGAUCGAGAAAACCUGAAAGAGGGAGAGAAAGAGAAACGAGUCACUACCACGGAUUUUUGUCAUCCAAGCACAUGAAGCUUGACAACUUAUAUC